rnacentral:tRNA from 1 species
GGGCCUGUAGCUCAGAGGAUUAGAGCACAUGGCUACGAACCCUGGUGUUGGGGAUUCGAAUUCCUUCUUGCCAA